rnacentral:rRNA from 1 species
UGAGGAAUAUUGCACAAUGGGCACAAGCCUGAUGCAGCGACGCCGCGUGUGGGAUGAAGGGGCUACGCCUCGUAAACCACUGUAGCCCGGGACGAAAAACGCCUUAGAGGCGUUAGACGGUACCGGGAAAGUAAGGGUCGGCUAACUACGUGCCAGCAGCCGCGGUAAUACGUAGGACCCAAGCGUUGUCCGGAUUUACUGGGUGUAAAGGGUGCGCAGGCGGAUGGGUAAGUCAGGGGUGAAAGUCUGCAGCUUAACUGUAGAAUUGGCUUUGAUACUGCUCAUCUUGAGUGUGGGAGUGGUUGAUGGAAUUCCAGGUGUAGCAGUGAGAUGCGUAGAUAUCUGGAAGAACACCGGUGACGAAGGCGGUCAACUGGCCCAUAACUGACGCUCAUGCACGAAAGCGUGUGGAGCAAACA